rnacentral:tRNA from 1 species
GCUAACGUAGCUCAGCUGGCAGAGCAGCUGACUUGUAAUCAGCAGGUCGUCGGUUCGACUCCGACCGUUAGCU